rnacentral:rRNA from 1 species
UACAGAGGUCUCAAGCGUUGUUCGGAUUCAUUGGGCGUAAAGGGUGUGUAGGUGGCGCCGUUAGUCGGGUGUGAAAUUUCGGAGCUUAACUCCGAAACUGCAUUCGAUACUGCGGUGCUUGAGGACUGGAGAGGAGACUGGAAUUCAUGGUGUAGCAGUGAAAUGCGUAGAGAUCAUGAGGAAGACCAGUGGCGAAGGCGGGUCUCUGGACAGUUCCUGACACUGAGACACGAAGGCCAGGGGAGCAAACGGG